CCUCUCGGCCUGACGCGCGGGAGCGGGAGCCGCUGGCCUCUGCUUUAGAGCGCUUUUGCUUUCCGAAUACAGCCUUCAUAAGGGCAAGAGCUUCCACCCAUUUUGUUCACUGCUGCGGUCCUGAUGCCUGGGACAGCCCUGCUGAGAGAUGAGGAAAGGGAUUCCUAACCCGAGCCUAAGGCAUCAAGGACUCAGGAGGAGUCAUCAGAUCCCAUUCUCAUGAGUGGAACCUUCCCUGAAUCUCUCAGUAGCCUGGGUGUCCCCUGGACCAGCGCUUUCUUUCCCACUUGGAUCCCAUCCCAGUUCAUCACCAGCAUCACCCAUGAUGUGGCUCCUCCAACCAGCCAGGGACUGGCAGGGCCUCACCUGCCACCAGGAACGGGGCUGGGUUUCUAGCUGGCAGGCUGAUGCUGGGCCCCACAAUCCCACAACUGCCCGAGGGAGUGGCCACAAUUCCGUUUUAGAGCCUGUUUCCUCAGAUCACUCCUGGCACCUGACCUCUGAGAGCUGGUGCGCUGGGAAGCAGAUGUGGAGAAGACAGUUUGUGUGAAAUGAGUGUCCUGAGAAGUGACCCUGGUGUCUUCGCCUGUAAAGGAAGAGCAGACAUAACCUGAGCAGAAGCUGAUUGCGGUGGUGGCUGCAACAAGGCCUCAGUCCAUCCCACUGGGGUCUGAGUGGGAGGGCCUUGCAGACUCGUCCUGCCACCAGGGAGGCCCUGGCCCUCUCUCCUCCCUUCAUGGACCAGUCAUGGGGUGCUGUGAACUUGGGCAGGCGGCUCCCUUCACCCAGGCCAGUUCCCGGCCAGGGGCUCAGCAGAGAGCCUGGAGCCACCAACGUUCCCAGCAGCUGAGGGAUGCUGAGGGGGACCUGGGCACCACUGCGGCCACCGCUGUCCCCUUUAAAUACCUCUUGACCUGUCUGCCCCUUCUUGAGCAUUGCCUCUCCCCAGGCUCCAUUCUCGGGCCUUUUCUUCGUUGACUCCCAUUUCUUUGGGGGGAGCAGGGAGCAUGACCCGUGCUCCCCGGCCUUAACCAGCCCUGAGCCUGGGCCCCAGGGUUUCCUGUCUCUCCAGCAUCGCCAGUUUACGCUUCUCUUUGCCCCGCCCCUUGGGACGGCCCACCUCUUGCAUCCUUUGAUCCACCCCCACCCCCCCCACUGCUCCUACACGCGGCCCUCACUGCCUCCCUCCCGGGCUUGCUGUCCACUCAGGCCCCCGGCUCCCGGCAUGGGCGUCACAGCCCUUCGGGAGUGGAAGGGGUCACUUUACAUGCAUGUUUCCUCCCUCCUGUCUCUGUUUCCAGCGUUGCUCUCUCCUGCGUCCCCCAAAGCCAGCCCCUCCGCCUCGCCACUGCUGCUGGGGACACUUCCUCAAUCACAGAUUGUUAUUCACAUAGGAACAGUUGCUGGACGCUUGCCACGGCCUGCCCACAUCACAUUCUGGGCCAGUCAUGGUGAGUGACGCAGAAAAAGUCUCUGCUUGGAGUUCCCGUUGUGGCUCAGAGGGUUAUGAACUUGACCAGUACCCACAAAGAUCCUGGCCUCACUCAGUGGGUUAGGGAUCCCAGCUUGCCGUUGCUGUGGUGCAGGCCGGCAGCUGCAGCUCCAAUUCAACCUCCAACCUGGGAACUUCCAUAUGCUGCGGGUGCAGACCU
rnacentral:lncRNA from 1 species